CAAACACGCAAACAAAUCUCGCCCGCUCGCAGGCCAAGGCGAGGGGUACCCGGCGCCCCACUCCGCGCGCGCCGAGCCACGCUCCGCCCGCGCGCCCCCGGCCGGAAGGGGCGUGGGACGCCGCCGAGGGAGGGGCGCGCAGACGCGCCGCGGCCGGCCGGGCCCCUGGCGCGUCGGGCGGAGGCGGGAGGCGGGAGGCGGGAGGCGGAGGCCUGGGGGCGGGGAGCGGAGCCCGGGGGCCGGCCGGCGCUUGUUCUCUGCCGCGCUAGCUCGGGCUACUCGCGCUCCCGCGCCGCGCCGCGCCCGGCUUCAUGUGAAGCGCCGGCCCUCUGCCCCCUCCCUCCCCUUCCUUCCCUCCCUCCCUCCCGUCCCCUCCUCCUCCUCCUCCUCCUCCCUCUUCUCCUCCUCCUCCGCCCCCUCCCGCGCCCGCUCCCGCUCCCCGGGGCCCCAGCCCGGCUGGGCGCUGACAGCAGGGGCGGGGGGGGUCCCGCCGCCGCCGUGUCUCACGCAGGCUCCGGCUGGGGCAGCGGAGCCCCCGGUGCGGCCAUGACCGGCCUCUGGUGGCGUCGGCGGAGGCGGAGGAGGAACUGGAGUGGCAAGUGGCGAGUCGCAGGAGGAAGGCCUGGGCAAGUGCCGCGGCUCCUGGCAGGCAUCGGAAACGGAGGACCUGUCCACAGAAGCGACGACGCAGGACGAGGACGAGGACGACGAGGACGACCUCCCGGGCGGGAAGCUGCCGGCGGCGGCGGGGAGAGGAAACGUGCCCAACGAGAAGAUCGCGAUAUGGCUCAAGGAUUGCCGGUGAGUCCUCGCUUUCGCCGCUAGCGUCCCAGAGGGAGAUCCGCGGAGAUGGCACUGCGGAGCCGGAGUCACUAGGGCCGCAGUCCCAGUGGGUCCCGUGGCCGUUGUGAGCUAUAAGCCGGAAAGUGAGCCGGCGGAUAGUUUCCUCCUCUAGAAGAUUAGAAAUGGAAGUGCUGUGACCGCUGAUUAUUUGGUGGCCGUGUUUACUUUACAGUUGUUAGGACUUCAGUCCCUGUGCAUGAUGUUAGCAUCAGAGAUCAGAGACCUAAAACAAAUAAUCAUGCAGUGUUGUUAUUCUUGCCUGUUUUUAUUCGAAAGGAUUUUCACAUUUCACACUAUUUUAUUUUGCUUUUGUUUUGACGUCUGUAUAUCUGGCAUGGAAUGAUUUCCCUUUCAAAUGUGUUUUAGAUGAAUUUAAUUUACUUAACAACACGAACUGGGCUUUAAUUUUAGCUUUGAGCCUUAAUUCUAUUUGGACAGCUAUAAAACCAGCUAACUUUGUUCUUGUAGUUUACUCCUUGGACAUGCAUUUGUCAGAUGGCACUGGAAUGCGCAAAGGGAAAUAGAGCUUUGAAGGCAUUCAAAUGGCAUAAAUCUAAUUGCAUGCUUUGGCAACUGGUACAACUCUUCGAUAAAGUGCAAGAGGAGAUGAAUCAUAUUGCACGUAAAUCUUACUACAGUAAAAAAGGGCUUGUUUUAUAUUUUUUUUCCAGUUUAUUUUCUAGUUGUAAAAUCUCAUAUGAAGAAUGUUACUUUUUAAUGCGGCUACGGUGUUUGCUCCUGCACAUAUUUGCCAUCUCAUUUUGGGCUUUUCUUAAUCUUUUGUUCAAGUACCAGAGGUAAGGAAGUAUUUUUUGGAGCAAGGAGAAGUGAUUUUCAUAUAUGCCAGCUUAUUUUUCCUAACCUAAACACAGAUAAAGUAUUGGCUACUACAUUGAUUUCCUGUUUUGAUGAAUUACUGGAUUUUUUGGUAAUUUUGAUGAAUUACUAAGCACUCUUCACUGCAGAACUCCUUAACCUUUACUGGGGGUGUCAUAGACCCUUUGAGAUAUGAAGAAGUAUAUGGACCUUCUCUCUAAAGGUGCAUCAAAAAUAAUGUUUAACAGCAAGAGAAAAAUCAUAUUGUGUUUACUUUAUGAUGUAUAGGAAUUAAGAUUAUAUGCGAUCAUAUCAAGUAGACAGUACGUUUAUCUUGUAAGAUAAAUGCAGUAGGCAAAUGUUACUCAUCAGACAUAUCACUUCUGAAAAUUCCAAAAGUUUUGUUGGUAAUCUUACGUAGGCAGAUUCUAUAGUCUGUUGCUCCUUCCCUCAUAGGAUUCCUGCAUAGAUUUCCUUCUUGUUCCUUACAGUUGCACCUAUUUUGUACAAAAGGGGCAUUCAUUUGUACCUGGGAAAGCUAAAACAAAUAGUCUUGUCAUGUUAGCUGUAUUAUCACAGAUUUCACUGCUAGGAUAUAUGCAACUGUAGUUUUUUUUAUUUUUUAAACAGUUUAGGAUCCUUCUCAGAGUUAGGCGUUCUACCUACUUUGUACAUUAUAAGUGAUCUAAAGCUAGCUUUUUCCUCUUGAUACAUUCUCAUUUUUUUUUCUUAUUGAUGUCCAUAUCCUGAAUAAAGAUACCAUUUGUCAUUCCUUUGGGGGGGGGGUCCUUUAUUUUGAUAAUCACUUUUUUAACUAAGUGGAAAUAAAUUGCUUGAAUUAAAUCUAAGAAAGGAUAGUUUUUUGAGAGAAUUUGGAAAAGAGAGCCGUUGUAAGAGUGAGAAACUUGUUUCUGAAGGAGAAUGGCAGUUAUAUUCUCUUUAUUUGCCACUUUUGUUAGUGCACCCACGCAUAGAGACAUCUGCAGGAGUAAAACAGUGUUUUGUCCUAAGAAAGUAGCACAGGGAAGAAGAAGGACUUUAUAAAGCAUAAAUUCCAGUUUUAUUAAAAUACAUGCAAAAUUUAGCUCCAAAGUUUUUACUGUUUUUAUGGUAGUUGUGUUUCUUUACAUUUUUCAAAAGCACUAAUUUUCAAAGAACUGCCACUGCUUUUAUAUUUGCUUGCAGAAAGUUUUAACAUUAAAUUGUCAUUUCAAUAAUAUUUUUUGAGCCUGAUAUUUUUAUGAUCUCAUAUUUGAUGUGAAUUUGUAACAGGUAUAAACUGUUACUGAUGAAAAAUUCAAAUCACAAAACAGAACUUUCAAAAUAAAACAGUGUUUCUUAAUAUAAUUUAGUUUUGAGAAAGAAAUGAAAAACAUUUUCAUUUUCACAUUAAAAAAAGAUUUCUAAGUUAUCUCUGAACGGGAAGAAUGUGAAAGAAUUUUAGCAAUGGCUGGUUCUUAAGGUUGAUUCUCAAGCCAACUUUUUAGUUUUUAGAGUUAAAUGAAGAUACAUGUAUUUCAUAGUUUAAAAACAGAAAAAAAAAAUCUUAAGCUUCUUCAUUUAGACCAAAAAGAUAGUUGGGGUAAGGGAGGCACUGAGUGAUGCUCUUAAAAUGCUGGUGAUAGGUCUGACAGAUGAGGUUUAAAAAAAGUGUUGAGGCUUAUUUCUAAUUAGACUCUGACUUAAAUUUUAUUAAAGAUUUGUUUUCUUUUAAUUCUGUUUCCUGUUUCUAGGGAGGGGAUUGAGGGCAGCCGACAUUUUCUUAAUGCCUGCUGACAUUCUCUUUUUCUGUUUUUGUAAAGAAAAUGCUAAUUAAUAUCAUUUGUAAUUACAAUUCUUGCUCUUAAUUGCUGGCAGAUCAGAUGUGUGAUUAAGUCAUUCCUGGUGAACUGACUUGAGGAUAGGUGUUUGCUUAGUUAGUAGGAUAUUACUUAUGUAAUACACUUGCAUUCCUUUUGUGUUUGGGGAGGAGAGUUAAACUGUGAUUAGAAGCUUGCUUGGCUGUGAUCCUUUAAAUGUAAAGUUGUGCAGUAACAACUCUCCAGAUAGCUUUUUAAGACUAAGGUUU
ensembl:lncRNA